rnacentral:rRNA from 1 species
UGAACGCGGGCGGCGUGCCUAAUACAUGCAAGUCGAACGGACAUCGCAAGAUGUUAGUGGCGACCGGGUGCGUAACACGUAGCUGACCUGCCCCUCAGCGGGGGACAACAGUGCGAAAGCGCUGCUAAUACCGCAUACGCUCGGAGAGAUUAGAGGCUUUCUGAGGAAACUUCUGGGGUUGAGGGAGGGAGCUGCGGCCCAUCAGGUAGUUGGUGAGGUAGAAGCUCACCAAGCCGACGACGGGUAGGGGGCCUGAGAGGGUGGUCCCCCACACUGGGACUGACACACGGCCCAGACUCCUACGGGAGGCAGCAGUAAGGGAUAUUGCGCAAUGGGCGAAAGCCUGACGCAGCAACGCCGCGUGGAGGAUGACGGCCUUCGGGUUGUAAACUCCUUUGGACCCGGACGAGGAAGGACGGUACGGGUCGAACAAGUCACGGCUAACUACGUGCCAGCAGCCGCGGUAAAACGUAGGUGGCGAGCGUUAUCCGGAUUUACUGGGCGUAAAGCGUGUGCAGGCGGACCGUCAAGUGGUGUAUGAAAUCGCCCGGCUUAACCGGGCGGGGUUAGGCCAGACUGACGGACUGGAGUGCGAGAGAGGGGCGUGGAAUUCCGGGUGUAGUGGUGGAAUGCGUAGAGAUCCGGAGGAACCCCAGCGGCGAAGGCGGCGCCCUGGCUCGCAACUGACGCUCAGACACGACAGCAUGGGGAGCGAACGGGAUUAGAAACCCCGGUAGUCCAUGCCGUAAACAAUGCCAACUAGGCGUCGGGGGUCUCAACCCCCUCGGUGCCGGAGCUAACGCGGGAAGUUGGCCGCCUGGGGAGUACGGCCGCAAGGCUAAAACUCAAA